rnacentral:rRNA from 1 species
GAACGCGAAGAACCUUACCAGAUCUUGACAUCCUGCGUAGGCCUGCGAGAGCAGGCUGUGCCCUCGGGAACGCAGAGACAGGUGGUGCAUGGCUGUCGACAGCUCGUGUCGUGAGAUGUUGGGUUAAGUCCCGCAACGAGCGCAACCCCUAUUGCUAGUUGCCAUCAUUAGUUGGGAACUCUAGCAAGACUGCCUGCGAAGAGCAGGAGGAAGGUGGGGAUGACGUCAAGUCAUCAUGCCCCUUAUGAUCUGGGCUACACACGUGCUACAAUGGCCGGUACAGAGAGCCGCAAGGCGGCAACGCCAAGCCAAUCUUUAAAGCCGGUCCAAGUUCGGAUUGAAGUCUGCAACCCGACUCCAUGAAGCUGGAUUCGCUAGUAAUCGCGCAUCAGCCAUGGCGCGGUGAAUACGUUCCCGGGUCUUGUACACACC